rnacentral:rRNA from 1 species
UGCGUAGGUGGUAUGGCAAGUCAGAAGUGAAAACCCAGGGCUUAACUCUGGGACUGCCUUUGAAACUGUCAGACUAGAGUGCAGGAGAGGUAAGCGGAAUUCCUAGUGUAGCGGUGAAAUGCGUAGAUAUUAGGAGGAACAUCAGUGGCGAAGGCGGCUUACUGGACUGAAACUGACACUGAGGCACGAAAGCGUGGGAGGCAAACA